rnacentral:lncRNA from 10 species
AUUCUCUUCAAAAAGUACCAUUAGAACUAAUAAUUCUAAGUUAUUGAAAAUGUAUUAUGUAAUGGACAGUUUGCAUACAUCAUUUUAUUUACUCUUAUAUGAGAUACUUUACAGAUGAGGAAACCGAGGCUUAAGCAACCUUGGAACCAGGAUUUAAAACCAAGCAGCAUAUUUCCAGAGCCCACAAUCCAAACCUGUAUACUCCACUUCCAAAACAAUGAAAAAAGACUGUUCAUCACUUUUAUUACAGUCAUCCAAAGUGGCUGCUUCUUUCAGGUCAUCAAGUCCUAGAAAUUCUACUUCUGAAAUAGUGAAACCUCAC